UACGGAGGAUGCGAGCGUUAUCCGGAUUUAUUGGGUUUAAAGGGUGCGUAGGCUGAAUAUCAAGUCAGCGGUGAAACGUUACAGCUUAACUGUGACCGUGCCGUUGAAACUGUUAUUCUGGAGUGCGAGCGAGGUAGGCGGAAUGUGCCGUGUAGCGGUGAAAUGCAUAGAUAUGGCACAGAACUCCGAUUGCGAAGGCAGCUUACCAGUACGCUACUGACGCUGAGGCACGAAAGCGUGGGUAUCGAACAGGAUUAGAUACCCUGGUAGUCCACGCGGUAAACGAUGAUCACUAGCUGUUUGCGAUAUACAGUAAGCGGCCGAGCGAAAGCGUUAAGUGAUCCACCUGGGGAGUACGUUGGCAACAAUGAA
rnacentral:rRNA from 1 species